rnacentral:rRNA from 1 species
AAAUGAAUUGACGGGGACCCGCACAAGUGGUGGAGCACGUGGUUUAAUUCGACAGUAAGCGAGGAACCUUACCCAGACUUGACAUCUAGCGAAUCCAGCAGAAAUGCAGGAGUGCCUUCGGGAACGCUAAGACAGGUACUGCAUGGUUGUCGUCAGCUCGUGCCGUGAGGUGUAUGGUUAAGUCCAAUAACGAGCGCAACCCUCAUCCUAUGUUAAAUAGUCAUAGGAAACUGCCCGGGAUAACCGGGAGGAAGGUGGGGAUGACGUCAAAUCAGCAUGGUCCUUAUGUCUGGGGCUACACACAUGCUACAAUGGGUAGGUACAAAGGGAAGCCAAACCGUAAGGUGGAGCAAAUCCCAUCAAAACUACCCCCAGUUCGGAUCGAGGGCUGCAACUCGCCCUCGUGAAGCCGGAAUCACUAGUAACCGUAUAUCAGCCAUGGUACGGUGAAUACGUUCUCGGGUCUUGUACACACCGCCCGU